rnacentral:rRNA from 1 species
UACGUAGGGGGCAAGCGUUGUCCGGAUUUAUUGGGCGUAAAGAGCGUGUAGGCGGCCUGACAGGUCUGCUGUGAAAACUCGAGGCUCAACCUCGAGAUGUCGGCGGAAACCGUCUGGCUAGAGUCCGGAAGAGGAGAGUGGAAUUCCUGGUGUAGCGGUGAAAUGCGCAGAUAUCAGGAAGAACACCGAUGGCGAAGGCAGGUCUCUGGGCAUUAACUGACGCUGAGGAGCGAAAGCAUGGGGAGCGAACAGG